rnacentral:rRNA from 1 species
UACGUAGGGUCCGAGCGUUGUCCGGAAUUAUUGGGCGUAAAGGGCUCGUAGGCGGUUUGUCGCGUCGGGAGUGAAAUACACUGGGCUUAACCGAGUGCUUGCUUUCGAUACGGGCAGACUUGAGGCAUUCAGGGGAGAACGGAAUCCUGGUGUAGCGGUGAAAUGCGCAGAUAUCAGGAGGAACACCGGUGGCGAAGGCGGUUCUCUGGGAAUGUUCUGACGCUGAGGAGCGAAAAGUGUGGGGGAGCGAACAGG